rnacentral:rRNA from 1 species
AUUGAACGCUGGCGGCAUGCCUUACACAUGCAAGUCGAACGGUAACAGGCCGCAAGGUGCUGACGAGUGGCGAACGGGUGAGUAAUGUAUCGGAACGUGCCCAGUCGUGGGGGGAUAACUGCUCGAAAGAGCAGCUAAUACCGCAUACGACCUGAGGGUGAAAGCGGGGGAUCGCAAGACCUCGCGCGAUUGGAGCGGCCGAUAUCAGAUUAGGUAGUUGGUGGGGUAAAGGCCCACCAAGCCAACGAUCUGUAGCUGGUCUGAGAGGACGACCAGCCACACUGGGACUGAGACACGGCCCAGACUCCUACGGGAGGCAGCAGUGGGGAAUUUUGGACAAUGGACGCAAGUCUGAUCCAGCCAUGCCGCGUGCGUGAAGAAGGCCUCGGUUGUAAG